CCCCUCUCCUCCAAGGGAACGCCCUUUCCUUCUGGCUUCAGGGAGGGAGGGUGGUGGAGGCCAGGGGUGAAGAAGACAUGGGGAGGAGGCAGAGAGGAGAGAAUGUUGGAGAAAUGGGGUCUGGGUAGACCUACCCCUGCUGUUUCUCAGCUGAGCCCGCAAAUUCCUGUUUGCUUAGCCUGUUUGUUGUUACUUUCAGGUGAAACUUUCCUCGCUGGUGCCAGGCAUUUCUGGAGGACAGCAUUGGGUGGAGCUGAAAAGGAGGGGCCCGCGGGUGCCUGGACCUGGAUGGGGCGGGGUUGGCCAAAUCCUUUCCUUUGGAUUCCACCUCCAGCUAGACCCCGUGGAGCCUGGUUUUCCCAUCUCUGCCCCUCUGCUGAGCCGUUCGAGAGCCCCUACCCAUGGAAGGGCGUGGAGACGACAGGGUGUUUGAGGCCGGAUGUGAGUGGCAGGCAGACGCGGAGUCUUCGAAGGGGCGGAGGAGGUGAAACUCACAGCCCCACCUCGCGGCUUCACUGGCGGAGCCGGGAGUUCAAGUUCAUUACAGACCUCAUCUUGUCCCUCCUCACACCAGCCUCCAAAGGCGAGGAUUGCCCUCGCUAUCGUGCAGAUGAGGGAACUGAGGCCCGUGACACUUGUGCGACAUGCCUGAGGCCAGCCAGCUGA
rnacentral:lncRNA from 1 species